ensembl:lncRNA
GUGGCCAAGGUGAUGGAUAUAAAUAUUAACUUGCACCAUACAUUCAUGAAAGGUUUCAGAAUAUCGAUUGGAUUAUAGGGACGGAAAAUGCACAAAGAGAACGGCGGAAUGUAGGAGACACCCAGGUGCCUGAUCGGGUGUGAAGCCGGUUUGAAAAAGAAGGAUGUGAGGAAGGAACUAGGGAGUAGAAGUAGUUUUUCACACGUGUGACCUAGGAAUGUUGUUGGAUACGAAUUAAAAAACGGGUCCAUCCUAUUUAGGAGAAAUUUCACGACGAACCUUAGCUCUGUCCUUCCACUGUCAAACUCAACGUCGUCAAAAAGCAAACUUGAUUUAUUUUUUUUCGUUAAUUUUUUUUGUAACAACUUUGUGUCAAAGUGGGACUUCCGAUGCUAGGCUAUCUCAAGGCUAAGCUAGCGCGUUCUAGUUCAGGGCGUUCGGGUUCUCCAGCGAUCUGGUCGUCUUUUACAGCAGAAAUCCUCAGGUUCUUAACUGUCGUUCCUUUGUUUGGGACGUUUGGAACAAAUCCUCAACCAUUACGUGCAGGCCGGGCUUUACCAGAGCUGUAGAGAUGUCCUUCAGGGCCCUGUCGGUCCAACCAGUGGGUCUUCUUUUCUGUUCGGGAAGGCCUUUUACAGAACGGCAACUUCUUAAGUUUGCCGAAAAAUAGCCCGAAUUUGUACCACGUGGUUGGUGUGACAGCUGUUUUGGCUGAUUUGGCUGUUGGUUAGAUGAUGAAUUUAAAGGUCGCUAGCUGGCUCUGACGUGGUGCUGGAGUAAAAUAAAGAGGAGGAGGAGGGAGGAGGCACGACGCACGACGCAACAGCGGCGUGAAAUAUACUCGCCAUCAUCAGACUUUUUUGCUACAGGCGCCACCGCCGGGAUCAUAUACCUCGAAUAUACAGAGGACUCUCCUUCUGUGGUUUUUAAAUGUUUGGGAAACAUUUGAGCAUGUUUUACACACACUCACGCACACACACUCAUACCUACAAAUACCUCGGUGGUCCAAAGAGAUAAUCUUCUCGUGUUUUAAGCUAAGUCGAAAAAGAAAAGCGGCCGUCUUAAAGCCAGUGGUGGACCCGUUCACUUUUUGAAACCUUACUAAAGAAAAAUCAAUGUAAAAUAAAUAAUAAUCUUGUUUGUCGCUGUGAUGCUAGGUUUGCUAUGCGUGGGUCAUGUGAAUUUCUGAGGCAGUGCGUGUCAUAGAACUGUAUCCAGCUAAAGAGCCAUUCUAAUCUAUUUGGCCGGGUGAAACUCGUCUGAAUCAUGACAAAUCAAUGAUGUUUUUAUCAAGAUCGCUGUUGACUUUAUGUUCGUAUGGUCUCCGGUCGAUAAGUGAGACUGGUUGAAAAAAAAAGAAAAGAAAAAAAAGAUAAAAUGCUUUUUCUCUCUUUAAUACACUUUUGUUAUUAUUUUUAGACAAACUAAAUCGAAAACGAAAAUGUACAAUCACCCCAAGAAUUUUGACCAAGUCAAAAAAGUGAUAGUGUUGGUUAUCACAAUAAUAUUUAUUACAAUUUGAUCUCUCUAUGCACAAUUAUGUUUGCACAUCAUGUUGUUUAGCCCUAGAUGUUGUGGUCCCGGAGUAUUUGGCCUGGUUGGUUUUUUUACCUAAAAAAGUUUGCCAUGGUAGUACUUCCUUGUGUUUGAUCAUUUUAGAUGUUCAUCCAUCCAAGAAUCGUUAUGGAAUUAAGCAUUUUUUAGAAAAAAUGUUGUCUUCUGAAUGGCACUAUUGCAUUGUGGAAUUUCCCCCAUAAUUUUGAGACUUUUUUGACCAAAUAGUUUGAGUGUAUAUAGAAGUAAAAACUGGGAAAAAUCAUGAAGUUAUAAGAAGACUUACUUUGGUUGUCUGGAUUUAGAAUCAGUGAGACCCAGGAAGAAAGCCCCAAUUAAAUCAUUUCUCUCCGGAUCUCACUUUAAAACAUUGGCAUGAAAUGUCCCCCGUUUUAAAUGGGGACCCAUUGGCUUGUUUACGUAGAGUUGGCCCGCAGAAGCACCGCUACGCACCUCAAAGAUGGACACCUCACACCUGCCGUAAGGUCCCGGUGCACGCCGACCUUUACUGUAGCCGCACCUACACUUUACUAACUGUUAACCGAUAUUUUGUGAAGCACAAAAUGUUUGAAGCUUUUAUUUUGGAAAGUAUUUACCUCAUCAGUCCAUGUUGCGGCCUCUCUGGUAGGAAGCAGUGUGUCGGGUUGCCAUGGAGACGCCUGUGCUCUGUACAGUACUGUGUUACCGCCAUGCAUCGUAAGCGUUCUGCGUCACCACGCAUCGUCCUUCUGUCUCUACUUUUAAGUUUAGGUUGUUGCUUUUUUUUUUACCAUUAUGUUUUAACUUCAGUGAAAUGACACAAGAAAAAAAAAGUUUUUUUCUAAAGAAAGCAUUUGUCAUUUGUCAUGAACUACA